rnacentral:rRNA from 1 species
AUUGAACGCUGGCGGCAGGCCUAACACAUGCAAGUCGAACGGUAGCAGGAAGAAGCUUGCUUCUUUGCUGACGAGUGGCGGACGGGUGAGUAAUGUCUGGGAAACUGCCUGAUGGAGGGGGAUAACUACUGGAAACGGUAGCUAAUACCGCAUAACGUCGCAAGCCCAAAGAGGGGGACCUUCGGGCCUCUUGCCAUCGGAUGUGCCCAGAUGGGAUUAGCUAGUAGGUGGGGUAACGGCUCACCUAGGCGACGAUCCCUAGCUGGUCUGAGAGGAUGACCAGCCACACUGGAACUGAGACACGGUCCAGACUCCUACGGGAGGCAGCAGUGGGGAAUAUUGCACAAUGGGCGCAAGCCUGAUGCAGCCAUGCCGCGUGUAUGAAGAAGGCCUUCGGGUUGUAAAGUACUUUCAGCGGGGAGGAAGGGAGUAAAGUUAAUACCUUUGCUCAUUGACGUUACCCGCAGAAGAAGCACCGGCUAACUCCGUG